GACGAACGCUGGCGGCGUGCCUAAUACAUGCAAGUAGAACGCUGAAGGAGGAGCUUGCUUCUCUGGAUGAGUUGCGAACGGGUGAGUAACGCGUAGGUAACCUGCCUGGUAGCGGGGGAUAACUAUUGGAAACGAUAGCUAAUACCGCAUAAUAGCAGUUGUUGCAUGACAACUGUUUGAAAGGUGCAAUUGCACCACUACCAGAUGGACCUGCGUUGUAUUAGCUAGUUGGUGGGGUAACGGCUCACCAAGGCGACGAUACAUAGCCGACCUGAGAGGGUGAUCGGCCACACUGGGACUGAGACACGGCCCAGACUCCUACGGGAGGCAGCAGUAGGGAAUCUUCGGCAAUGGACGGAAGUCUGACCGAGCAACGCCGCGUGAGUGAAGAAGGUUUUCGGAUCGUAAAGCUCUGUUGUAAGAGAAGAACGAGUGUGGGAGUGGAAAGUUCACACUGUGACGGUAUCUUACCAGAAAGAGACGGCUAACUACGUG
rnacentral:rRNA from 1 species